UGAUAAAAUAUCUUCAACUACUGGGAAAGCCAAACAUAUCAGACUUCUUCCCUAUGCUUGCAAGGUUUGAUUUACAAGGAAUACAGAAAGACGCGGAGGCUCUUUUGAAGUCGGUUGAAAGUAUAUUGGACCCUGCCAUAAAUGAACACUUGAAGAUGCUUUCAGACAGAAGAGAAGGUGAAAUCCAGCAGAAUGAGAAGAAAGACUUUAUACAGAUCCUGUUAGAGCUAAUGGAGCAGAAAGACAUUGGUAUAUCACUGGACUUGGUGAAAAUAAAGGCCAUCUUGGUGGUAAGUUAUAUGGUUCCUUCAUUUUUUCUAUAUCGUCGUCCUCUCGUUAACCUUGUUUAUCCUGUGAAUGCCAUCAUAUUAUUGUUGAAAAUACAAUUAAAUAAUAAAAGUAUGUUCUCUUUAACAACUUAAGCUUUUAGAUGAGAUGAUCACACACUUCAACAAUUACUUUAUCUGUCUGAAGAUUUAACAGUGUCAUACAAAAUUUGUAAGACUAAUUUAGCUAAGUAUGUGAUUCAAGCAUCUUAAUCAAGAACUCUAAUCAUUUAUCUAACCACAUAUUGGUCACGGGUUCGAGCCAUGGAAACAGUCAGGUUUCUAAUCACACCCAAGGGUGCGGCUCUUCUCCGGACUCUGCUAAUGUGGGAUGUUUUGAGCACUAGAUUGUAGAGAAUAGCAGAAGAAAACUAUAAUCGGAAAACCUUCUACUAGCCCAAGAUCGUUAACUAAGAUCGGAAGAUUCAACUAAGGAAGAGGAAGCUAGAAAGGAGAAUUUGUUUAUGGAAGAAGACUAUUUUAUUUAAGUUGUUCUUGGGUUGCCUUUUGGUUGUAUACAAAUGACAAUGGUCACCCCUAUUUAUACUUGUGUAGGGAUGGUUCUAGCUAUUACAAGUUCUAGACUAUUCUAUCAUUUACUACAAAAAUAUCUUCUCUAGAAUAUCUGCAAGAAAGUUCUAGCGAACUUAUCUUCUAGCAAUUUCUAUAGAAUAUCUAGAUAUUUAUUCAAGGCAACUUCUCUAGAAUAUCUAGAUAUUUCCUUAAGAUAAUUAUUCUAGGUACUACACUAGACCAUUAUAGAAACUAUACUAGAAAAUUCAAUGAUAUUCCAAAAAUCCACUUUAUCAUUUUUCGCACAGAUUGCCCUUUUUUUUAAAGUCCUAAAAAGAUAUACAUACUCAUACCUAAACAUGAAUGUUGUGCCCCCUACAUGCCGCGGCCUCAUACAGGCAGGGGCAGAGCCACAAGAAGUUAUGAGUUCGCAGAAUCCAGUAGCUUUGGCCCAAACUAUGUAAUUCUAUUAAGAAAUUCACUUAACAUAUUUAAAUAAUUUAUUCGGAACCCAAUAAAUAAAAAAAGUUGUGGUUCAGAACCUAUAAACUUAAAAUACUGGAUACGUGUCUGCCUACAGGUAGUUCCUUUCCCCUGUCUUUAUAUAUGUUUCUUCAUUGUAGGACAUUAUUAUUGGUGGGACUGACUCUACAAUUACAACGGUCGAGUGGGUAAUGACAGAGCUUCUGAAUAAUCCGGAGAAGAUGUCAAAGGUGCAGCAGGAAUUGAAACAUGUUGUAGGGAUGAAUAACGUUGUUGAAGAAUCCCACUUACCAGAGCUGCACUAUCUUGAUGCAAUUUUAAAGGAGACGUUACGUUUACACCCUGCAUUACCACUACUUCUCCCAAAGCGCCCGAGCCAAUCUGCAAUAGUAGGUGGAUACAAAAUACCUGAGGGAACUAAAGUAUUCUUGAAUGUUUAUGCAAUUCAUAGGGAUCCUCAGGUGUGGGAAAGUCCACUAGAAUUCCAGCCUGAAAGGUUCUUGAGUCGCUCGACAAAUUUAGACUAUGCUGGAAAUAAUAUGAAGUACCUUCCAUUUGGUUCAGGGAGGAGAAUUUGUGCUGGCCUUCCUUUAGCAGAGAAAAUGGUCAUGUUUAUGUUAGCUUCAUUGUUACAUUCCUUUAAUUGGAAACUCCC
rnacentral:lncRNA from 1 species